UGUUUGCAUCAUAGCAGUUUGGUGCAUGCC
rnacentral:piRNA from 1 species